GCCCUCAGUACUAGGCUGAAGAGGCUGUGACGCGCCCGGUGGCCCCUCUGGGCAGUGGCUGGCAGCAGAAACACACACGCAGCAGACACACUCGGCUUCCUCGCCUGGAGAGCCGGGAGAGAGCAGUCUCUUCUGUUAUACUCCCAGUGUACUUCCAUCUGCAGCACACAGGACAUCACAGAUUGUCAACGCUGUCACACAGUACUGCUCUGGUUAUUCCUCGUGGUUAUCUUUGCUCCUCAGGGAGAUGACGGAGUUUCGCUCUUGUUGCCCAGGCUGGAGUGCAAUGGCGUGAUCUCAGCUCACUGCAACCUCUGCCUCCCAAGUUCAAGAGAUUCUCCUGCCUCAGCCUCCGGAGUAGCUAGGGUUACACACCACAACACCCAGAUAAUAUUUGCAUUUUUAGUAAAUACAAGGUUUCACCAUGUUGGUCAGGCUGGUCUCAAACUCCUAACCUCAGGUGAUCCACCUGCCUCAGCCUCCCAAAGUGCUGGGAUUAUAGACGUGAGCCACCACGCCCAGCCCAGACAACCCCUACUCUUACAUAAAUGGGCAUAAGAAUUACACAAGGCUUAUAACCUGUAUUCAUCAGGAGAGACUUGAGGCCUAAUCCGCCCUGUGUCCAUCUGUUGGUUUGAAAGAAUGUGUGACUACCUGAUCCCAAUUACAAGGCCAGAACCUCAGAAAUGUAGAGAGUGAUGAGAAUUCAGAACAGGUUGUAUUAACAAUUUGUGGUCUGCUUUACUAAUAAUCAUUUGGUUAAUAAAUACAGAAGCAGAAUUCCA